UAGGGAAUCUUCCACAAUGGACGCAAGUCUGAUGGAGCAACGCCGCGUGAGUGAAGAAGGUCUUCGGAUCGUAAAGCUCUGUUGUUGGUGAAGAAGGAUAGAGGCAGUAACUGGUCUUUAUUUGACGGUAAUCAACCAGAAAGUCACGGCUAACUACGUGCCAGCAGCCGCGGUAAUACGUAGGUGGCAAGCGUUGUCCGGAUUUAUUGGGCGUAAAGCGAGCGCAGGCGGAAUGAUAAGUCUGAUGUGAAAGCCCACGGCUCAACCGUGGAACUGCAUCGGAAACUGUCAUUCUUGAGUGCAGAAGAGGAGAGUGGAACUCCAUGUGUAGCGGUGGAAUGCGUAGAUAUAUGGAAGAACACCAGUGGCGAAGGCGGCUCUCUGGUCUGCAACUGACGCUGAGGCUCGAAAGCAUGGGUAGCGAACAGGAUUAGAUACCCUGGUGAGUCCAUGCCGUAA
rnacentral:rRNA from 1 species